CCCGCGUUAGAUUAGAUAGUUGGUGGGGUAACGGCCUACCAAGUCUACGAUCUAUAGCUGGUUCUAGAGGAUGAUCAGCAACACUGGGACUGAGACACGGCCCAGAUCUACUACGGGAGGCAGCAGUGGGGAAUCUUAGACAAUGGGCGCAAGCCUGAUCUAGCCAUGCCGCGUGUGUGAUGAAGGUCUUAGGAUCGUAAAGCACUUUCGCCAGGGAUGAUAAUGACAGUA
rnacentral:rRNA from 1 species